GGUCAGUAGCGGCGAGUGAGCGGCAAGAGCUCAGAUUUGAAAUCUCACCUAGUGUGCGAGUUGUAAAUUGCAGGUUGGAGUCUCGGGUUAGACGUGUGUGCAAGUCCCUUGGAACAGGGUGCCACUGAGGGUGAGAGCCCCGUAGCGUGCAUGUCGACACCUGUGAGGCCCUUCUGACUAGUCGAGUUGUUUGGGAAUGCAGCUCUAAGUGGGUGGUAAAUUCCAUCUAAGGCUAAAUAUUGGCGAGAGACCGAUAGCGAACAAGUACUGUGAAGGAAAGAUGAAAAGCACUUUGAAAAGAGAGUGAAACAGCACGUGAAAUUGUUGAAAGGGAAGGGUAUUGGGCUCGACAUGGGAUUUACGCAUCGUUGCCUCUCGUGGGCGGCGCUCUGGGUUUUUCCUGGGCCAGCAUCGGUUUUCGUUGCAGGAUAAGGACAAUUGGAAUGUGGCUCCUCGGAGUGUUAUAGCCUUUUGUAGAUGCUGCGUAUGGGGACCGAGGGCUGCGGCGGACUCGUUUCGUCUCGGAUGCUGGCACAACGGCGCAAUACCGCCCGUCUUGAAACACAGGACACAAA
rnacentral:rRNA from 1 species